CCUACGGGUGGCAGCAGUGAGGAAUAUUGGUCAAUGGGCGUAAGCCUGAACCAGCCAAGUCGCGUGAGGGAUGAAGGUUCUAUGGAUCGUAAACCUCUUUUAUAAGGGAAUAAAGUGUGGGACGUGUCCUGUUUUGUAUGUACCUUAUGAAUAAGGAUCGGCUAACUCCGUGCCAGCAGCCGCGGUAAUACGGAGGAACCGAGCGUUAACCGGAUUUAUUGGGUUUAAAGGGUGCGUAGGCGGCCUUUUAAGUCAGCGGUGAAAGUCUGUGGCUCAACCAUAGAAUUGCCGUUGAAACUGGGAGGCUUGAGUAUGUUUGAGGCAGGCGACAUGCGUGGUGUAGCGGUGAAAUGCUUAGAUAUCACGCAGAACCCCGAUUGCGAAGGCAGCCUGCCAAGCCAUGACUGACGCUGAUGCACGAAAGCGUGGGGAUCAAACAGGAUUAGAUACCCGAGUAGUC
rnacentral:rRNA from 1 species